UGGGAAGUUUUUUUUAUUUUGUUUUAUUUUAAAUAAAGAUUCUGGAGUCUAACUUCUAGGGAUUCUGAUUCAUUAUGUCUCAGCUAGGUCCUAGGAAUCUGUAUUUUAAGAGAGCAGAUCAAAGAGACAGAGAAAGACUAGGUUCUCAGGACAUCAUUUGAACCCCUGAGUUAGAACUAAUUGAAGCUAGAUCCACCCCUGGACUCCAUAAGCCAAAAAAUAUCCUUUUAAAAAAUUAAAAAAAUUAUUUCAACUUUACCCUUGCCCCUUUCCCUCCCUCCCUCCUCUUGUAUUCCCCACUGUCUAUUGUUGCCAUCUUUAUCCAUGGGCACCCAAAGGUUAGCUCCCACUUAUGAGUGAGAACAUGUGGUAUUUGGCUUUCAGUUACUAUGUUAAUUUGUUUAGGUUAAUGGCCUCCAGCUGCAUCCAUGUUGCUGCAAAGGACAUGAUUUUAUUCUUUUUCAUAGCUUCAUAGUAUUCCAUAGUGUAUACGUACCAUGUUUUAAAAAAUCCAAUCCAUCAUUGAUGGGCACCUAGAUUGACUCUAUGUCUUUGCUAUUAUGAAUAGUGCUGCAAUGAAUAUACGGGUACACAUGUCUUUGUAAUAUUAUUUACAGCAUUCCCAUCAGCAAUAAAUAGGAGUUCUUUUUCCACAUCCUCAACAGCAGUAGCAUUAUCAGUGUUUUGGAUUUUGGCCAUUCAAAUGGGCGGGCAAUUGGAUCUCAUUGUUUUAAUUUGCAAUUCCUUAUUGAUAUAUAUGUGGAGCAUCUUUUCAUAUGCUUAGUUGCCAUCUGUAUAUCUUCUUUGGUAAGGUGUCUGUUCAGGUUGUUGGCUCAUUUUUUCCUUUUAUUUACCGGGGAAAAGCAUGAAUGCAGUAUGCUACUACCACAAAUUACGCAGUUGAGUUUCCCACAUUUGGAGAAAUCACAGGGAUCAGCAAGUCUUCAGUGGAAUAGAGAAGCCUUGCCCUAGGAAAAACUACCCUUGUGGUCAUGGUAUCUACCCUGCCUGGUAAGUCUUUUGGGCCUAUUUUUCAAUUGGGUGGCUUAUUUUCUUGUUGAACUUUAAGGGUUCUUUGUAUAUUUUGAAUCACAAUCCUUUAUCAGAUAGGUCUUUUGCAAAUAUUUUCUCUCAGUCUGUGGCUUAUCUUCAAUUUUUUUUAAAAUUUAUCAACUUUUUUCAGUAGCUGAUAUAGUUUAGCUCUGUGUCUCCACUCAAAUCUUAUCUCCAGUCGUAAUCCCCACAUGUCAAGGGAGGGAGGUGAUUGAAUUAUGAAGGCAGUUUCCCCCAUGCUGUUCUCAUGAUAGUGACUGAAUUCUCAUGAGAUCUGAUGGUUUUAUAAAUGGCAGUUUUUCCUGCAUCCUCACUUCUCUCUCCUGCCACCAGGUGAAGAAGGUCCUUGCUUCCCCUUCUCCUUCCGCCAUGAUUGUAAGUUUCCUGAGGCCUCCCCAGCCAUGUAGAACUUUUCCUGAGAUUGGAACUUGGAUCAUUUAUUGGACCCCCACCACCACCCGAGGGGUCUCAGGAGGCACUGCGAAGUCCAGCCUGGCUGCAUUCUGCAUGGUGUCAGCUCCUGCUCUGCUUCCUCUCCACCGCCUGUAUCUGGAAUGAUAAAGAAGAUGAUGUAUGGGAAAUUCAAGUAUUUGAGCUAUACCUAGAGAGGAAUCAGCCUUUUCCCCUGUCAGUUUUGUGCCUCCCUGCUCCAAAUCCAUUGUCUCUGCCCUGCUCUGUGAUACUGCUGGAGAUGGACCCUGUGAACGUGCUUCCUUUGCCAGCUGGCACAGUGGCAAGCUUUGUCAGUAGAGGGCACUGGAGGGACACUGCUGUGCACACAGAGCACCUUGUGGCACUCACCCUCCAGCUAGCCUCCUGCUCAGCUGGCCUGCCCCAUGGUUUUCCUUCUUUGCUGGCCUCAGUCUGCUGGAACCCCUGUGGGAAGUCUCUUGUUUUCCAACUUGAGCCCACCAGUUGGACCACUGUGGACCAGCUCUGACUCAGGAUAACACAGCAGACUUCUCUGCCAUCCCUUGGGCUGUGACUGUACCCUUUCCAGUGAAGUCUGAAUCUCAGGAGAGGGCCCCUCCUUUUGCAAGUUGUUCCUUAUAUGGGCACUUUCAGCCCCAUGGUAUUGUUAAUGUUCUCUUAUUUCUCUUAUUCUCUCUGGUUAAUCUCCUCUUUCUAGUUAAUAAUUCUUUAAAUUAAA